rnacentral:piRNA from 1 species
UGGUACAGGGAAGAGGCCUUCUUCAC